GUGGGGAAUCUUCCGCAAUGGACGAAAGUCUGACGGAGCAACGCCGCGUGAGUGAAGAAGGUUUUCGGAUCGUAAAGCUCUUUCGUUAGGGACGAACGUGCUCUUUGUGAAUAAUGAGGAGUAAUGACGGUACCUAAAUAAGAAGCCACGGCUAACUACGUGCCAGCAGCCGCGGUAAUACGUAGGUGGCAAGCGUUGUCCGGAAUUAUUGGGCGUAAAGCGCGCGCAGGCGGGAUAUCAAGUCUGUCUUAAAAGUGCGAGGCUCAACCUCGUGAGGGGACAGAAACUGGUAUUCUUGAGUGUCGGAGAGGAAAGUGGAAUUCCAAGUGUAGCGGUGAAAUGCGUAGAGAUUUGGAAGAACACCAGUGGCGAAGGCGACUUUCUGGACUGUGUCUGACGCUGAGAUGCGAAAGCCAGGGUAGCGAACGGGAUUAGAAACCCUAGUAGUCC
rnacentral:rRNA from 1 species